AGAUUGUGUUCCCAUUGACAUGCAUUAUACCACUGACGGUUGGAGUUAAAAUUCAUCAUUUGUGUUCUACUGAAGAAACCUACAUCUUGGAUGCCCUGGGGAUAUAAAAAGAACUGGCAGAUUCCCCCCAGCAUCACUAUGGACCACUUGUUGAAGACCCCUGCUCUGUUGUUCUGAUCCCUAGAUGUGUUGAUGCAGAUCGGAGUUGAUUUUUAGCUGAGCUUCUUGCCACUGCUCCAAGAAGUACUGAAAUCAAAGAACUCAGUGAAAGUUAGCAUUGCAUGGAUGGAUCCAAGGCUCCCUGUCAAGACGUCACAAGCACUUGCAGAGCAUGUCGUCACGCACCACUUCAUCUCCACAUCGACAAACGCGUUUGAGCUGUGCGAAGGAAAUAUUUUAAUUAGGCUUGACUCGACCAGCAUAAAUGAGGACUAGUAUACAUCAACGGUGGACACAUCAAUCAGCGAGGUGGAGAAAGGACUGCCCAUGUCAUGCCCUGGAAGUCUGACCGUAUGGUUGGUUAAAAUGUAUUUUAACAUGAUAGUUCUCCUAAAAUGGACAUUCUGUCAUCAGUUACUCACUCUAAUGUCUUUCUAAACACAAAGAUUAUUUUUUGAAGAAUAUCCUGCCUUUUUUCCACAUGAGUAAAAAGUGACAUUUUUGGGCGAACUGUCCUUUUAAAGGGAACCUAUAAUUCCCCUUUUACAAGAUGUAAUAUAAGUCUCUGGUGUCCCCAGAAUGAGUCUGUGAACUUUCUGCCCCAAAUACCCCACAGAUCAUUUAUUAUAGCUUGUCAAAUUUGCCCCAUUUGGGUGUGAGCAAAAACACACCAUUUUUGUGUGUGUCCCUUUAAAUGUAAAGAAGCUGCUGCUCCCGGCCCGCUUUCCUAAAAGUGGGUGGAGCUUUAACAGCUCGCGCUUCGGUUGCUCAACAACAACAAAGCUGGAGAAUCUCACGCAGCCAAAAUGAUUAUUGUCAGUAACGGUGUUCAGCCUUACAUUGUUCAAAUCAGAGUCGGACACUGUUAGAGAGAAUGAAUUUAGAAUGAAUCUGGACAUUUCAGAAUGGUUAUUGGAUAAAUUUAUGUAGUCAUCGACUAGCAUGUGCCGUCAUGUUAAUCUUUUGUGCAAAUCCAGCGUUGAAUUAACCUUCGUUUGUGAAGCAGUCCGGCGUAAAAUGACAGCAUGGUAACAACACUCUACAAAAACUCUUCUGCGUGUUCCCGGGUGCAGGGUUUAUGUAAAUUUUGGGGUUUGUGAUGUCACCAACCCAGGAAGAAGCUCAGUGUAGUCCCUACCAGCCGCUUGUUAUAGUCCUUAAAAAGUGAUUUCUGUAAAAAAAAAAAUCUCCCUUUGCAUUGAAAUUUGAGCAUCAUAACUUUGCAGAUGAUGUUUAUGCUCAAACAGCAACAUUACACACUAACUAAAGUUGAAAAAGUGAAAUCAUAAUCAAGGACCCCUUUAAAACAGUUGUAAGCACAGUCUGACUCAUUUGGUUGCGUCAACCCUUGAUUUAGACUCUUGUCUGUUCAUGCAGUUUGAUGCUUAGGGAUAAAUCAGUUAAAGUAUUGUCAUUCAAUCAGCGACCUCCUGGAAUGAAUCAUCAAGGACCCUGAAGGGUACAAAACCCUUGCGGUCCACUUCAGAAUUCACUUUGGUGACGCAAUGUCACAUAGACUGUUGGGAACAGGUUGAUAAAAAAUGAAAAUGAAUUUCAUUGUCAGUUAGUUGGGUCUUUGUACAUAGUACGCUAUUGAAAAACUGCAUUUCUGUAGAAGAGAAAUCUUUAAAAACUUCCAUAGCCACAGCAAUCUGCAGAGGGAAAAAGUCCAUGACCCAAAAAGUCCAACCAUAUGAGCUCUUAGGAAGAAGUUCAUAAGAAGAAGUUCAUAAGAAUUUAUUUUUAUACGGCCAGGUUGAUGCACCUAGUGCUUUGACAGAGGUGCUUAUGCUUUUUAUUAUGUUUUAUAGGUGUUUUUCCACAGUUUCCCAACAGUAAAUAUUAUACAUUUGAAGUCACGCAAGUAUUUCCAUUUCACAAAACUGCUUGUCCUCAUGGCAAACGAGUCAAUGUUAAAUUUCAAAGACUUUGUGGAGCAUGUGCGCGCAUUCGUAUCUAUCUAACAGAAUGCCACUGAGAAAGGGAGCGCACUUAUUCACUUUGAUGUAAUAUUUUUUGACAGAACUUGAAUUAAGGUUUAAAUUAUUCUUUUUAACAUUCAUACAUUUUCACUUGUUUUUCAUAGGCUUCAUUUUGCACUUUAUUUGAAGUAAAGCACUUGGCAAGAUGUGGAAUAACGCACUUAAAAAAAAUAAAAAAAAAAAAAAAUUAAGAAAUAAUUGAAAAAUGAAUCGAUUAGCGAAACAGCUGUUAGUUCACACCAGUACAGGCUUCCAUUGCAGGCACACAAAACCCUUUUGAGUCAUAAAAUAACGAAAUAUACAGACAAAUGAGUGCCACAGGACACUUGUCCACAGUAAAGUGUGCAAUUUUGGGCCUGGGCCAAGACCCCCCUCCAGAACCAUAUGAGUAGAGAUAGAAAAGAUGACAAGAGCUGUUAGCGGCACGUCUUGAAAUAAACCACCCAGCAGGAACUGCAGUCUGUACUGUACAGGGCCGUGUAACACAGUCGAACGUGCGAUUCCACGUUUCAGAGAGUGUGAGAAAAGCAAAGACAACAAGGCUAAAAUAGAAGCUCAUCAGAAAUCACAUUGGUUUUGUUUCAUCUCGAGCUGCCAGAGAGUUGGCAUAAAAAGAUUGAUUGCGGAAGUAUAUUCUCCGCCAGCCACCGAAAGUUCUGGAAUGAAGGGGGUGGGGGUGAUCUCCACCUGUCUGAGUGGAGAUAAAAUGCGGAUUGAGGCGAGCCCGCUGUUUUCUUUAACAUAUUUUCGCUCCCUCUGUAGGCGCUCAGAGGGCACUUUGAUCAGCGCGUUAUCUGCGCGGCUGAGGCCUAAUCCUGUGUUUGCUUCACGUUUAAGCCGGAUCACCGUGUCCGAAUCAAAGGGAAUGGUCACAGAUCAGAGGAAAUGGAAGACGUACGCAUGCGAGGAUGCACAGGCUCGCUCAGGCAAGAAAGAUCACCCACUCGUGCAUGCGUUUACCUCGGUACAAACCCUUUGCUUGUUCUACAUACACAAACACUUCCCCAUACACUGACUAAUGAAUCCUCAUUUGCAUAGGUUGUGCCUUCUAUGUCUUUCCUCAGGCGUACAUGUAGAAAGUGCCAGCUUCACGGCAGAACUUGCUCUUGGCAGUUGGUAUCUGAUGGGUCUGUUCUCACUUAUCUGUAAAGCCAACUGCAGCGCGGAGCCAGCCUCCACGCUCCGUAGUGCAAAACAUGCUGUUUCUCUCUGCUACC